rnacentral:misc_RNA from 1 species
UCCGAGUUGACCCCGGCAGUCUUCGAUGAGUCCCCGCCAUAACGCGCUGGCAACAUCGAACGAGGGUUGCGCUCGUUGCGGGACUUAACCCAACAUCUCACGACACGAGCUGACGACAGCCAUGCACCACCUGUCACCGGCCCCGAAGGACCUCCCAUCUCUGGAAGAUUUCCGGCGAUGUCAAACCCAGGUAAGGUUCUUCGCGUCGCGUCGAAUUAAACCACAUGCUCCGCUGCUUGUGCGGGUCCCCGUCAAUUCCUUUGAGUUUUAGCCUUGCGGCCGUACUCCCCAGGCGGGGUGCUUAAUGCGUUAGCUACGGCACAGGCACCGUGGAAACAGCACCCACACCUAGCGCCCAACGUUUACGGCGUGGACUAC